UGGAUGACUACAAAUGAGACGUUAUGUAUUACAAAUAAAGAAGCAAGUAAGUAUCUUGAUAUAUGCUCUCUUUAUUUUUAUUUUUUCACCGGAACAUAGCAGUUCUUAUGAGUGUAACUUAUUUAGUUUAAUCGCAAUAUGGAGGUGAAUUAAUCAUGUUUCCUGUCAUUUAUUUAUGAUUGCAUUAUAAUAAUUUCUUAUAUAAUAUGAACAUGGUCGCGUGUGUGGGCGUGUUCAAAGAAUUUGGCUGCUGAAAAUAUAAUAUUUUAAUUGAACUCUGACUUUUUAAAUCAUUUUUAAUUACUUUAAGUUAAAUUUGCAGAACUAAAUUCAAAGAUCUGAUCUUGUAACAUUUAAAGACAAUUAUAUACAUUUAAUCAAUAUUAUAACCACCAGUAAUGCUUAUAAUCUAUUUUUCUUUUUGCAUUUGAAAAGUUAGUUGUUCAAUUACUGUUUGUGUUUGUAAUAUGUAAUAUUUUUGUGCUUAUCUGUUGUUAUAUAUAUUCAUUUUGUAGGAUCAGUACAUAUUUGUUAUUGGAGAUACAGUGCAAGCUGUGUGGAAUCAAAGACCCCUAUUGAUGAGGCCAGUGUCAGUGAAGAUGGUGUGGUCACUGGAAUCCUGGUGUUUGUGGGAAAUGUGAAGGAGCUUCUCCCAGGAUUCUACAACAGUGUUGUCCUGAUGACUGAGGUAUUUAUUUUUUUUACUUUCUUGCCUCUUUGGAACAUGUUCAUUUAUGCAUACUGUGUAGAGGUGGUUCGCAGCUUCAUGGACA